rnacentral:RNase_MRP_RNA from 1 species
GCAAGGCCCCCGGGCCGCCGGCAGAGAGUGCCGGGCGCUGUGGGCGCCCCACCCGCCGCCGCCUCACGCCUUCCUCUCCGCCGAGACGCCCCCGGGCCGAGCGGGUGAGCGCGGGGCGGGUAUUCGUCACCGCCACAGACAUGCAGGUAGUGCGCAGGCGCACCAACAGAACGGGGCUCACUCUCAGGCCAUC